rnacentral:rRNA from 1 species
UACGUAGGUGGCAAGCGUUGUCCGGAAUUAUUGGGCGUAAAGGGCGCGUAGGCGGCCUUCUAAGUCGGACGUGAAAUCCCUCGGCUUAACCGAGGAACUGCGUCCGAUACUGAAAGGCUUGAAUCCGGGAGAGGGAUGUGGAAUUCCUGGUGUAGCGGUGAAAUGCGCAGAUAUCAGGAGGAACACCAGCGGCGAAGGCGGCGCUCUGGGCCGGUACUGACGCUGAGGAGCGAAAGCGUGGGUAGCAAACAGG